GCAAAAUGUUUCGGUGGAAAGGAAAGUGGCCAGCGUAAAAAGAAAUAAAUUUACGUUUCAGUCGACAAAAGCGAGGUUUGAAGAGAAAACUAAGUGAAAAUACAACUGCUGGAAAUUUAGCUGAAGCUGAAGUUCACAACUUGCAAGAUCCAGAAGAAAAAAAAAAUAACCUGCAAACAAAAUCAGAACGGGGGAGAAAAUGUCAACAGAAAUAUUGGGGGAAAUCAAUAAAAUCAGUGAUCUAGAGUCACAUGAAAAAGAAAAUUCACACGAGACGUCACUUACAAAUUGGGACCAGCCAAGUACGAGUAACCGGGGAAAGAGCUCAUGGAUGGUCGAUGAAUUGUCGAACUGAAAUUUUUGGGUGAGCAGAUGUGGUGUACGUUAUGCAAAGAAAUUUUGGCAUUCCAGUUUCUGGAAAAUGAACACCGUAAAGGGCUGGGAUCUGUUUUGAAAAUCAGGUGUCAUAAAUGUCUUCUAGUGAAUAAAGUGAGGACAAAUAGAGAGCAUUGGAUGAAAAACAAACGCACCGAACGUUUUGACGUCCAUUGAAAAAGUGUGUUAGGAGCACUUCGCCGUGGCCUAGGAUGGUCUCAAGUGAAUAAAUUUUGUUGGAGAGAGAACAUUCAACAACCCUUCUACAGUUUUCAAUAGCCUCAAGAAUUCCAAAGUGGCUUCAUUACGCCGAAACGAUGCCCAUUUCAUCUAGUCACAAUUGCGAUAAAUCAAUGGCAGAUGAACAGCCAGAAGAAUUAAUGAAUAAGAUAUCCUUUAAUGAUGUAAUCCGUGUAAUGGUUUCUUAUGAUAUGGCUUGGAACAUCAGGGGUGCUGGCCGUAGUUAUGACGGUUUAAAUGGGUUUGGGGCAAUCAUUGAUCAUUGCAGUGGAUAAGUUUUGGAUCAUGCAUCAUUUCAUCUCAAAUGCAAAAAUGUGACAGCACUAAUCCUAGUCCCCCUAACCCUAAUUGUCGUUGUAUUUCUCAUGGGUACGCAAAAACCAUGGAGCCUGAGGUUGGUACAAAAUUAGUCAUGGAAAAACAAAUUUUUAAAACACAGAAUGACGAGGUCGGAGUACUUAUUGGCGAUGAUGACAGCUCCACCAUCACGGCUUGUCGUAAUGCCAGUUCGGAUCGAAUACUAAAGCAGUCGGAUAAAAAUCACGCUGCCGGCGGAGUACAAAAACACCUUUAUGGUAUGGAGAAAAAAAACAA